UUGAAUGUGCGCAUAUACUGGAUGCUGAAACUAAACGACAAGCUUUAUGAAACCGUGGCAUUUUGCGUUGAGAUGGAAAAGGAACGCGCCACACUCUCCUGGAUACGAGGCUACGUGUGUGCGGCUUUUGCGCCAAAGGUCUUUCUACCAACAAAACAAAAUAGUAGGGCAGAAGUGACAGCGUCAGAAAGAAAACAAUGCUGUUCCGAUUGCUGAUGGAGACAACAGAGGAAGGUGCCAAGUAACUCUGGAGGAUAUUCUCGCCAUGACGAAUCGAGCUGGUAUCAACAUUCUUCGGAGAUUAUAGCCAAAACUCACAGGAACACACAGCUUUCAAUUGAGAAAUGCUGUACACAGCGCCCAGCGCCCUGGGAGCUGAACGUCUGCGGCCAGGUUACAGUACAGAAGGGUCAUCCAAGGUGCAUCAUGACCCUCAUCCAU